rnacentral:lncRNA from 1 species
UCGAGCUACUUGCCGCUCAGAUGGACGGUCGUCACCAUCGCCACCACCUGGGUCGUCGUCGAUCCAUUUAUUAGGCAAGAGAAACACACAAAAAUAAGAGCAAAUUGAGUAAAUUAAAUCGGCCAUAUAUACUUGUUUUCAUUCAUUUGUUCUUUGCAAGUGAUUGAGUGUAGUAAAAAUGUGAGGUUCUCGUGCUUUUUACAGAGUUUAUUGGAUUCUGAAAAAAGGCCAGCAAUUUCAUUACCA